rnacentral:rRNA from 1 species
AUACGGAGGGUGCAAGCGUUAUCCGGAUUCAUUGGGGUUAAAGGGUGCGCAGGCGGACUUGUAAGUCAGUGGUGAAAUCCCGGGGCUCAACCUCGGAACUGCCAUUGAUACCGCAAGUCUUGAGUUUGGUUGAAGUGGGCGGAAUGUAGCAUGUAGCGGUGAAAUGCAUAGAUAUGCUACAGAACACCGAUCGCGAAGGCAGCUCACUAAACCAACACUGACGCUCAGGCACGAAAGCGUGGGGAGCGAACAGGAUUAGAAACCCCGGUAGUCC